UAAGAAUUGUAUUUUUCUUUGAAAAUAAAACUUUGCUAGUUUAAAAAACAAAACAAAACAAAAAACACCUGGCUCCCAGAUUCCAAGCAAAUUUGUCAAGCCCUGCUUUGUGUCUUUAAUCUUUAUAGCCGAUCUUGGUUCCCUGUUCUCAAGUAUCUUGUGUAUCUUCACAAGAUUACUAUUGUAGUUUGAUGUGUAUCUUUUUUUUAUUACAUUGUGUAUGUUUUAGUGUAUACAUUAGGGAUGUGCAUGGGGAGAAAUUCUGAACUUCGGUAUUUUGGAAUUUCCGGACGGCUCUUGCAGC